UACAGAGGGGGCAAGCGUUAUUCGGAAUUAUUGGGCGUAAAGGGCGCGUAGGCGGCUUUUCAAGUGACGGGUGAAAUCCCUCGGCUUAACCGAGGAACUGCCUGUCAGACUGGAAGGCUUGAGACCGGGAGAGGUGAGUGGAAUUCCCAGUGUAGCGGUGAAAUGCGUAGAUAUUGGGAGGAACACCAGUGGCGAAGGCGGCUCACUGGACCGGAACUGACGCAUGAGGCGGCGA
rnacentral:rRNA from 1 species